rnacentral:rRNA from 1 species
GACGAACGCUCGCGGCGUGCUUAACACAUGCAAGUCGAACGGAAAGGCCCUGCUUUUGUGGGGUGCUCGAGUAGCGAACGGGUGAGUAACACGUGAGUAACCUGCCCUUGACUUUGGGAUAACUUCAGGAAACUGGGGCUAAUACCGGAUAGGAGCUCCUGCUGCAUGGUGGGGGUUGGAAAGUUUCGGCGGUUGGGGAUGGACUCGCGGCUUAUCAGCUUGUUGGUGGGGUAGUGGCUUACCAAGGCUUUGACGGGUAGCCGGCCUGAGAGGGUGACCGGCCACAUUGGGACUGAGAUACGGCCCAGACUCCUACGGGAGGCAGCAGUGGGGAAUAUUGCACAAUGGGCGGAAGCCUGAUGCAGCAACGCCGCGUGCGGGAUGACGGCCUUCGGGUUGUAAACCGCUUUCGCCUGUGACGAAGCGUGAGUGACGGUAAUGGGUAAAGAAGCACCGGCUAACUACGUG